rnacentral:rRNA from 1 species
AAACCUGAGAAACCCAAAAGAUCGAAUGGGGAGAUUCAUCGUCAGCGGCGUUGGCUUCCGUGUGGUGUUGCGAUGUCCGGGGCCUCGGUCCUGUGGCACGCUGCUGCUGCGGUAUGUUCGGCGUCGUCGGCGUGCACUUCUCCCCUAGUAGGACGUCGCGACCCGUUGGGUGCCGGCCUACGGCCCGGUUGGUCGACUGUCGCGUCGCGUUCACGCGUGCACGCGGCAGACCACGGUUGCCCGGCCGGCUGCCCGGCGGUAUAUAAAACGCAUAAAAUGGUAUUGAGCCNCACUCUUAUGUGCGUCCUGGCUCGUCGGCAGGCUCGCCUNGCUCGGAUUUACNGACCUAACGCCGUUGCCGGGUGCUUGGUGUGGCCCUUAAUCGACNAUGUCCUNGGACCGGCUAUUNAUUACCAGUCAGCGACGCUACUGCUUUGGGUACUUU